UGGGGAAUCUUAGACAAUGGGGGAAACCCUGAUCUAGCCAUGCCGCGUGAGUGAUGAAGGCCUUAGGGUUGUAAAGCUCUUUCAGCUGGGAAGAUAAUGACGGUACCAGCAGAAGAAGCCCCGGCUAACUCCGUGCCAGCAGCCGCGGUAAUACGGAGGGGGCUAGCGUUGUUCGGAAUUACUGGGCGUAAAGCGCACGUAGGCGGACUGGAAAGUUGGAGGUGAAAUCCUGGGGCUCAACCCCAGAACUGCCUUCAAAACUAUCAGUCUGGAGUUCGAGAGAGGUGAGUGGAAUUCCGAGUGUAGAGGUGAAAUUCGUAGAUAUUCGGAGGAACACCAGUGGCGAAGGCGGCUCACUGGCUCGAUACUGACGCUGAGGUGCGAAAGCGUGGGGAGCAAACAGG
rnacentral:rRNA from 2 species